rnacentral:sRNA from 1 species
UAACACAUGCAAGUCGAACGGUAGCAGGCCCUUCGGGGUGCUGACGAGUGGCGGACCGGUGAGUAAUGCAUAGGAAUCUGCCCUAUAGUGGGGGAUAACCUGGGGAAACUCAGGCUAAUACCGCAUAAUCUCUACUGAGGAAAGCGGGGGAUCGUAAGACCUCGCGCUAUUGGAUGAGCCUAUGUCCGAUUAGCUAGUUGGUGGGGUAACGGCCCACCAAGGCGACGAUCGGUAGCUGGUUUGAGAGAAUGACCAGCCACACUGGGACUGAGACACGGCCCAGACUCCUACUGGAGGCAGCAGUGGG